AUUGAACGCUGGCGGCAGGCUUAACACAUGCAAGUCGAGCGGAGAUGAGGUGCUUGCACCUUAUCUUAGCGGCGGACGGGUGAGUAAUGCUUAGGAAUCUGCCUAUUAGUGGGGGACAACAUUCCGAAAGGAAUGCUAAUACCGCAUACGCCCUACGGGGGAAAGAAGGGGAUCAUCGGACCUUGCGCUAAUAGAUGAGCCUAAGUCGGAUUAGGGAGUUGGUGGGGUAAAGGCCUACCAAGGCGACGAUCUGUAGCGGGGCGGAGAGGAUGAUCCGCCACACUGGGACUGAGACACGGCCCAGACUCCUACGGGAGGCAGCAGUGGGGAAUAUUGGACAAUGGGCGGAAGCCUGAUCCAGCCAUGCCGCGUGUGUGAAGAAGGCCUUUUGGUUGUAAAGCACUUUAAGCGAGGAGGAGGCUACCUGGAUUAAUACUCUAGGAUAGUGGACGUUACUCGCAGAAUAAGCACCGGCUAACUCUGUGCCAGCCGCCGCCGUAACAC
rnacentral:rRNA from 1 species